rnacentral:ncRNA from 2 species
AAUCAUAUUUUCUUCCAGGGCACCCCCGGAGGGGGUUUAAUAGGGAAUCGGGUGCAAAUCCCGAACGGUCCGGCCACUGUAUGCGGAGAGCAGAUUUCUGAAACACCACUGGAAUCAUCCGGGAAGGUUGAAAUCGGCCACGACCCGCAAGUCAGGAGACCUGCCUUGGAAAAUCCACUGUU